GUCCUCCAUCUUCACACCCAAAAGGGGUUUGGGCAUUCCACUUAUUUGCUGGUUUCUACUCCCUGGUUGCUUCAUUAUCUAGGAAAGAAAAAGCAAUAGAAAAAGAGAAGAAGAAAGAUCAAAGAGAGGAUCAAAGAGGUGAUCGUGAUCCAGACUUCGUUCAGAUUCGCAGGCUGAUUUUUCUUGAAGAAAAAAAAUCAAUUUUAAGAGGACUAUUUCAGGCUGAUCCUGAGUAGAUAUCCAUAG
rnacentral:lncRNA from 1 species